AACGAACGCUGGCGGCAGGCCUAACACAUGCAAGUCGAACGAUAUAGUGGCAGACGGGUGAGUAACGCGUGGGAACGUACCUUUCGCUACGGAAUAGCUCUGGGAAACUGGUGGUAAUACCGUAUACGCCCUUAGGGGGAAAGAUUUAUCGGCGAAAGAUCGGCCCGCGUUAGAUUAGGUAGUUGGUGGGGUAAUGGCCUACCAAGCCUACGAUCUAUAGCUGGUCUGAGAGGAUGAUCAGCCACACUGGGACUGAGACACGGCCCAGACUCCUACGGGAGGCAGCAGUGGGGAAUCUUGCACAAUGGGCGAAAGCCUGAUGCAGCCAUGCCGCGUGAAUGAUGAAGGCCUUAGGGUUGUAAAAAUUCUUUCGCUAGGGAUGAUAAUGACAGUACCUAGUAAAGAAGCCCCGGCUAACUUCGUGCCAAGCAGCCGCGGUAAAAGUGUGACUGU
rnacentral:rRNA from 1 species